rnacentral:rRNA from 1 species
UGGGGAAUAUUGGACAAUGGGCGCAAGCCUGAUCCAGCCAUGCCGCGUGAGUGAUGAAGGCCCUAGGGUUGUAAAGCUCUUUUACCCGCGAAGAUACUGCUGGUCUCGAGUUCGAGAGAGGUGAGUGGAAUUCCGAGUGUAGAGGUGAAAUUCGUAGAUAUUCGGAGGAACACCAGUGGCGAAGGCGGCUCACUGGCUCGAUACUGACGCUGAGGUGCGAAAGCGUGGGGAGCAAACAGGAUUAGAUACCCGGGUAGUCC